rnacentral:tRNA from 1 species
GGUAGCGUGGCCGAGUGGUCUAAGGCGCUGGUUUUAGGCACCAGUCUCCUUCGGGGGCGUGGGUUCGAAUCCACCGCUGCCA